CCUCCCUGGCCUGCCUUACAAGCAGCCGGGAUAGGGCGUAAGGCACACGCGCUACGUUUCUAGUGAGAAUUUUUCGCCUGAUCUGGGGCUCUGAGGCUCCCGCAGGGCGGGAGGACUCAGCUCUACUCUUGUCGCUAGAGCGCACUGGCGCUUGGGCUUGAAACCAGACACGACGUUAUUGCAACCUUCUCUCUAGAUCUGCUCUGCUGCCUCUGGGAGACCUGCUGCCUAACGACGGUUUGGGAGUGAUUCUGUGGGUGUGAAUGUCUGCACUCUUCCUCCUAUGCCCCGGGGCUGUCAGCUUCUAUGGCAGGGACCCCUCCUCUCUAAGGUGCCUGGCAUAGUGUCCCUGAUCCUCAUGCAAAUAGCACCUAGCUUGGCUUACAACUGGCCCCAUGCGGUUUGGGCUCUAACUUGAGCUCAGUGGGAGGGGUGGAAUUAAUACCCCUUUCAGGGGGCUGAUGAUGGGCCUAGGGAUGCUGAGCCCACAUGAAUUAAUGGGACUGGUUCUUAAGUGCCCAAGUAGUUUGAAAAUGGGAUAUUGGGCUUCUGUGUCACAUAGCCCUUUUGAAAAUGUGCCCGUCUCUCUGUGGAAGAGCUAAUGCUCCAGGUCCAAUAUGACACCGAUAUGAGGCAGGUAACUGUUCAGACUUGUCUGUUUGCACAAUUUAGCAAAGAGGUCCUGGAUUUCACCAGCUUUGUUUCUAUUUGGCUUACCUCUGUUGUGCAGAGGAGAGUGUUAAGGGAAGUUGCUUUUAAAACGGGUGAGGUGUUCUAGUUUGAAGUAGUGCAAGUCUUUGCGUAGGCGGGCUUGUGGGGUGGGGGCUGAGCCGGAGUUCUGUCUGGAGGGGGCAGUGCAGCCUACUGGAGAGACUUCUGCAUUGGGAGUCAGGUGGCCGUGGUUCUAUUCUUUGCUCUGUUGCUGAGCGAGCUUGGUAAGUCCCGUUCCCGCCUCCAUAGCAUGGGGCUUAAAGAGAUCCUGACCUUGGCAAAGCAGGUACCUCUGAUCAGAAGUGCGGGGGAAGAGGGUGCGUGAACGCCUGGCAGGAAAGCUCACUGAUGAACAUGCUCUUUGUACUAAUAAAGCUUUGAA